GAUGAACGCUGGCGGCGUGCCUAAUACAUGCAAGUCGAGCGAACAGAUAAGGAGCUUGCUCCUUUGACGUUAGCGGCGGACGGGUGAGUAACACGUGGGUAACCUACCUAUAAGACUGGAAUAACUCCGGGAAACCGGGGCUAAUGCCGGAUAACAUUUAGAACCGCAUGGUUCUAAAGUGAAAGAUGGUUUUGCUAUCACUUAUAGAUGGACCCGCGCCGUAUUAGCUAGUUGGUAAGGUAACGGCUUACCAAGGCAACGAUACGUAGCCGACCUGAGAGGGUGAUCGGCCACACUGGAACUGAGACACGGUCCAGACGCCUACGGGAGGCAGCAGUAGGGAAUCUUCCGCAAUGGGCGAAAGCCUGACGGAGCAACGCCGCGUGAGUGAUGAAGGUCUUCGGAUCGUAAAAAUCUGUUAUUAGGGAAGAACAAAUGUGUAAGUAACUGUGCACGUCUUGACGGUACCUAAUCAGAAAGCCACGGCUAACUACGUG
rnacentral:rRNA from 1 species